rnacentral:rRNA from 1 species
AAAAGUCGUAACAAGGUUUCCGUAGGUGAACCUGCGGAAGGAUCAUUAUUGAAUGAAACUUGGUGUGAUUGUAGCUGGUCCUCUUUGGGGACAUGUGCACAUCCAUCAUCUUUUCCUCUCCCCCUGUGCACAUUUUGUAGGUCUGGAAUAACUCUCCAAGGCAACUUGGUCGUUGGGAACUGCUCUCAAGCUCUCCUUACAUUUUCCAGGUCUAUGUUUUCAUAUACACCAUAAGAAUGUAAUAGAAUGUUUUUAUUGGGCCUUGUUGCCUAUAAACUAUAUACAACUUUCAGCAACGGAUCUCUUGGCUCUCGCAUCGAUGAAGAACGCAGCGAAAUGCGAUAAGUAAUGUGAAUUGCAGAAUUCAGUGAAUCAUCGAAUUUUUGAACGCACCUUGCGCUCCUUGGUAUUCCGAGGAGUAUGCCUGUUUGAGUGUCAUUAAAUUCUCAACCUUAUCAACUUUGGUUGAUAAUGGCUUGGAUGUGGGGGUAUUUUGCUGGCUUCUUUACGAGGUCAGCUCCCCUUAAAUGUAUUAGCUGGUUGCCUUGUGCAGUUUGCCUAUUGGUGUGAUAAUUAUCUACACCGUGAACUUUCUGCCAGUAUAUAGCACUGCUUCUAACUGUCUGUUAAAUCAGACAAUAUAUGACAAUUUGACCUCAAAUCAGGUAGGACUACCCGCUGAACUUAAGCA